rnacentral:rRNA from 1 species
CCUACGUGAGGCAGCAGUGAGGAAUAUUGGUCAAUGGGCUUACGCCUGAACCAGCCAAGUCGCGUGAGGGAAGACUGCCCUAUGGGUUGUAAACCUCUUUUGUCAGGGAGCAACGCCGGCUACGUGUAGCCGGACUGAGAGUACCUGACGAAAAAGCAUCGGCUAACUCCGUGCCAGCAGCCGCGGUAUUACGGAGGAUGCGAGCGUUCUCCGGAUUUAUUGGGUUUAAAGGGUGCGUAGGCGGAAUGCCAAGUCAGCGGUAAAAUCGCGGGGCUCAACCGCGCUCCGCCGUUGAAACUGGCGUUCUUGAGUGGGCGAGAAGUAUGCGGAAUGCGUGGUGUAGCGGUGAAAUGCAUAGAUAUCACGCAGAACUCCGAUUGCGAAGGCAGCAUACCGGCGCCCAACUGACGCUGAAGCACGAAAGCGUGGGUAUCGAACAGGAUUAGAUACCCCAGUAGUC